CCUACGGGGGGCAGCAGUGAGGAAUAUUGGGCAAUGGGCGAGAGCCUGAACCAGCCAAGCCGCGUGAAGGAUGAAGGCUCUAUGGGUGGUAAACUUCUUUUAUGUGGGAAUAACUUGAGGAACGUGUUCCUUUUUGUAUGUACCAUAUGAAUAAGCAUCGGCUAACUCCGUGCCAGCAGCCGCGGUAAUACGGAGGAUGCGAGCGUUAUCCGGAUUUAUUGGGUUUAAAGGGUGCGUUGGUGGUUAAUUAAGUCAGCGGUGAAAGUCUGUGGCUCAACCAUAGAAUUGCCGUUGAAACUGGUUGACUUGAGUACAUUAGAGGUAGGCGGAAUGCGUGGUGUAGCGGUGAAAUGCAUAGAUAUCACGCAGAACUCCGAUUGCGAAGGCAGCUUACUAAACUAUAACUGACACUGAAGCACGAAAGCGUGGGGAUCAAACAGGAUUAGAUACCCCAGUAGUC
rnacentral:rRNA from 1 species